GAUGAAGAACGCAGCGAAAUGCGAUACGUAAUGUGAAUUGCAGAAUUGAGUGAAUCAUCGAGUCUUUGAACGCACAUUGCGCCCCCUGGUAUUCCGGGGGGCAUGCCUGUCCGAGCGUCAUUGCUGCCCUCAAGCACGGCUUGUGUGUUGGGCCUCCGUCCUCCUCCCGGGGGACGGGCCCGAAAGGCAGCGGCGGCACCGCGUCCGGUCCUCGAGCGUAUGGGGCUUCGUCACCCGCUCUUGUAGGCCCGGCCGGCGCUUGCCGACACAUCAAUCUUUUUUCCAGGUUGACCUCGGAUCAGGUAGGGAUACCCGCUGAACUUAAGCAUAUCAAUAAGCGGAGGA
rnacentral:misc_RNA from 1 species